rnacentral:rRNA from 1 species
UGGGGGAUAUUGCACAAUGGGCGAAAGCCUGAUGCAGCGACGCCGCGUGGGGGAUGAAGGCCUUCGGGUUGUAAACUUCUUUUGCUCUGAACAAGGCAUGCCUUUGGGGUGUGUUGAGUGUAGGGGUUGAUUAGCGCCGGCUAACUACGUGCCAGCAGCCGCGGUAAUACGUAGGGCGCGAGCGUUGUCCGGAAUUAUUGGUCGUAAAGGGCUUGUAGGUGGCUGGUUGCGUCUGUCGUGAAAGCUCAUGGCUUAACUGUGGGUUUGCGGUGGGUACGGGCUGGCUUGAGUGCAGUAUGGGCGGCUGGAAUUCCUGGUGUAGCGGUGGAAUGCGCAGAUAUCAGGAGGAAUACCGGUGGCGAAUGCGGGUCUCUGUGCUGUUACUGACGCUGAGGAGCGAAAGCGUGGGGAGCGAACAGG